ACCCGCGAACACCCCUAAUCAAAGACAACAACACGCAAACAGAUAGAGAAAGAAAGUGAGAAGAAUUUUAGAGAGAGAAAGACAGAGAGGUGAACACCGACCGGACGUUCGGUGCUCCGCUCAUCACGGUUGUGGCCCCACCACUCAGCCAUGGAUGAAUUGCCUGAUUUGCCUGAUUGUGUCCUGUCUUACAUAUUUUCAAAGUUACCUGUGGUGGAUUUGUUGAGAACAAGCGUAUUAUCGAAAAAGUGGAUUCAUGAAUGGGGAUCAAGGACAGACCUCAACAUUGAUAUACAUAACAUGUUUAAUCAGGAUACUCUACACAAAACCUAUGGUGACUUUCUCGUGAGACUCGAUCAAUUCAUCUUACAUUAUCCAGGUGCCACCAUUCGUUCCGUAAAACUCAAUUAUCCAUUAGAAGAUGAUAUUUUUAGUGACAUAGUUGACAAUUUUAUUUCCCAAGUUAUUUCCAAAGGCGCCCAACGGAUUGAACUCCUUUGCUCAAAACAUAACUCCCCAGAUAUUCAUUUCAUUACGGGAAAAGACACAUACAAGUUUUCCUUCACUCACACUAAUCAUUCAUUGAACUAUCUGCAUCUACAAAACUGUCGUCUAUCACCUUCUAUAGACUUCACUCAACUAAAAAGCUUGACAACUCUUGUGUUGCAUCUACUUAAUCUAAAACAACAUAUGCUCUCAGGUAUAUUAUCUAACUGCGUUAAUCUUCAAGACCUCACACUUAAAAACUGUCUAUAUGAUUUUGACGUAGAUAUAACUAGUCCCUCCCUCUGUCAUUUGAAGAUAGUGGAUCAUAUAAAACUUUGGCGCACUAUUCAUUGGAAGUUGUGGUUAGAUAUAUAUGCGUUAAACCUUUCGUCCUUUGAAUUCAGCAGUAGACUUGCUACCUUUAAAUUGAAUAAUAUCAAGGCUCCUAAGUUAUCAAAGUUUAACUGCAAUUGUAAAACAAUUCCACCUUAUGUGUUUUGUGGGAUGGAUAAAUUGAAACAACUUGUCUUGGUUGAGGUCCUUGUACCGAAGGAUAUCUUGCCUAGUUUGUUUUCUAAUUGUCGCAAACUCGAGGAACUAACCUUCUGGGGAUGUACAUUUGAGUCUUCAAUUAGUAUUAUCAGUCCAACGUUGCAUCGCUUGAACAUAAUUGACUUUGAUUGCGUUCCCUGGGACUUGGACAUUGAUGCAUUGAAUCUAUCGUCCUUUGAUUAUAGAGGUCAGUUGACGAUACGUUCUAUUAAGGCUCCUCAAUUAUUGAAUCUCUUUUGGAACACAACAAAGAAUGAACAAAUCCCACAUGCCUUUGACAUCAUUGCAACUUUACCUCAGCUUCACAAUCUUUCUAUCAACUUGAGUCAUUCAAAUAUAGCCAUACUUCCAAGCAGCUUGGGUCCAUUUCAACAUCUUAGAAAGUUGAACUUGUUUAUUGGUGGAGGAGAUUCAUCAGACCCUAACUAUCCUUUCUUCCGUAUUUUAGAUAUUGUUAUGGCUUCGCCCCUUCUCCAGGAACUUUGUAUUAAUUCACCAAUAUCAACGGUCAGAAGCAAUAUUUCAUUACUUGAGUAGUAGAGGUGUUUGAUGGGAAGGGAUGAUUUGUGGAAAACCAAAAUCCUAGAAUAUAGUUACAGGAAAUCAGAAAGGGGGAGGGAGUUGAAUGACAAGUUGUUGUUAAGCAACGUAUUGAAGAGAAAAUAAAAUUGGGAAAUGGACGGGAUGUGAGUUUUUGGUGUGAUGCACAGGUUGAUUCCACCAUACUGUUGAAAGAUAGAUUCCUUUCUGGGGCUGUUUUCUUUAGUUUCUAACAAAGAUGUUGCUCUUGGGAGCAUGUGGAGGAGGUACGAGCAUGGGGUUGGAAGCAUGAUUUAUUUGAUGGAGAAGCUGUAGAUGUAAUGGAAUUGGAGGGGAUGUUGGUUGCUUGAUCCUGUUAAUGGAAUUUCUGUGAAACAAUGCUAUAAAUGGUUUAUUAAUGAACCUGUGGUGUCUGAAGGUGUGACAAAUGUAUAUUUUGUCACCGCUUGUCACAAACUGUGGAACUUGGAAGUGCAAAGUGACGUAUAAAGCGGCAAUACUUGCUUGGAAGUUGUUACAAGAUUGGGGAUACACAAUCAGGCGCCGAUCAGAGACAUAGAAAAGAACUUGGUGGUUGUGCGGACAGCGACACAUAUCAAAGACUGUUUGCUCGACACAGACACCUUUGGGAAAAUAUGAGUUGUCUUAAGAAAAUCACUUUUGAGUCUGGUGAUAGAUUCUAUGUUGGUGCUGGAAUUUGGAAUACUGGUUCUGGCUCCGACGAUGACAAAUGUGUUAGUAGCGGCAUUAGUUUUAUGUGUGAGAGGCUUAAAGAUGAAGUAAUGAACAAUGACUACUUAUCAUUCUGUAGUAUUGUUGAUUAGUUAUUUAUUUUGUUUCUUUAAAGUUUAUGUGACUUCUCGGCUUAUCGGGCUACUUACAGACUACUUAUCAUUCUGUAGUAUUGUUGAUUAAUUAUUUAUUUUGUUUC